UAGGGAAUUUUCGUCAAUGGGGGGAACCCUGAACGAGCAAUGCCGCGUGUGUGAAGAAGGUCUUCGGAUCGUAAAGCACUGUUGUAAGUGAAGAAUGCCAUAUAGAGGAAAUGCUAUGUGGGUGACGGUAGCUUACCAGAAAGCCACGGCUAACUACGUGCCAGCAGCCGCGGUAAUACGUAGGUGGCAAAGCGUUAUCCGGAAUCAUUGGGCGUAAAGGGUGCGUAGGUGGCACGAUAAGUCUGAAGUAAAAGGCAACAGCUCAACUGUUGUAUGCUUUGGAAACUGUCGAGCUAGAGUGCAGAAGAGGGCGAUGGAGUUCCAUGUGUAGCGUAAAUGCGUAGAUAUAUGGAGGAACACCAGUGGCGAAGGCGGCUUACUGGACGGUAACUGACGUUGAGGCUCGAAAGCGUGGGGGAGCAAACAGGAUUAGAUACC
rnacentral:rRNA from 1 species